rnacentral:rRNA from 1 species
CAGUCGCCGCGGUAAUACGAAGGGUGCAAGCGUUACUCGGAAUUACUGGGCGUAAAGCGUGCGUAGGUGGUGGGUUAAGUCUGCUGUGAAAGCCCUGGGCUCAACCUGGGAAUUGCAGUGGAUACUGGAUCACUAGAGUGUGGUAGAGGGAUGCGGAAUUUCUGGUGUAGCAGUGAAAUGCGUAGAGAUCAGAAGGAACAUCCGUGGCGAAGGCGGCAUCCUGGGCCAACACUGACACUGAGGCACGAAAGCGUGGGGAGCAAACAGGAUUAGAUACCCGGGUAGUCCCUGUCUCUUAUAC